UACGGAGGGGGCUAGCGUUGUUCGGAAUUACUGGGCGUAAAGCGCACGUAGGCGGCUUUGUAAGUUAGAGGUGAAAGCCCGGGGCUCAACCCCGGAAUUGCCUUUAAGACUGCAUCGCUUGAACGUCGGAGAGGUGAGUGGAAUUCCGGAGUGUAGAGGUGAAAUUCGUAGAUGAUUCGGAAGAACACCAGUGGCGAAGGCGGCUCACUGGACGACUGUGACGCUGAGGUGCGAAAGCGUGGGGAGCAAACAGG
rnacentral:rRNA from 1 species